rnacentral:rRNA from 1 species
CGGAACGGCAUGGGAGGGCCGGCCGCAGCGGGUGACAGCCCCGUACGCGAACCCAGACCGGACGGCGCGACGCGGUCCCUGAGUAGGGCCGGGCACGUGAAACCCGGUCCGAACCUGGGUGGACCACCAUCCAAGCCUGAGUACUACCCUGUGACCGAUAGCGCACCAGUACCGUGAGGGAAAGGUGAAAAGCACCCCGGGAGGGGAGUGAAACAGUACCUGAAACCGUGCGCCCACGAGCAGUCGGAGCACCUUUAUGGUGUGACGGCGUGCCUUUUGUAGAAUGAGCCAGCGAGUCGCUGGCGCGGGGCGAGGUUAACCGAAAGGGAGCCGGAGCGAAAGCGAGCCUUAACAGGGCGACUUGAGUCCCGCGCCGCGGACGCGAAGCCGGGUGAGCUAUCCGUGGGCAGGCUGAAGCGGGGGUAAGACCCCGUGGAGGGCCGAACGCACGUCGGUUGAAAACGGCGGCGAUGACCUGCGGAUAGGGGUGAAAGGCCAAUCAAACCCGGAGAUAUCUCGUUCUCCCCGAAAUAGCUUUAGGGCUAGCGUCGCGCGUUCACCGCCGGAGGUAGAGCACCGGAUGGACGAGGGGGCUUCGCCGCCUACCGAAUCCAACCGAACUCCGAAUGCCGGCGGCCCAGAGCGCGGCAGUCAGAGCAUGUGGGCUAAGCUGUGUGCUCGAGAGGGAAACAGCCCGGACCGCCCGCUAAGGUCCCCAAGUUCCAGCCGAGUGGCAAAGGAUGUGCGUCCGCCCAGACAACCAGGAUGUUGGCUUAGAAGCAGCCAUCCAUUCAAAGAGUGCGUAACAGCUCACUGGUCGAGUGGACAUGCGCCGACAAUACACGGGGCUAAGCUGGACACCGAAGCGGCGGGAUUUUAAUUCAUUAGAAUCGGUAGGGGAGCUUCCCAUGGGCGGUGAAGCCGCCGGGCGACCGGCGGUGGAGCGCAUGGGAGUGAGAAUGCUGGCAUGAGUAGCGAGAGACGAGAGAGUAACUCGUCCGCCGUGAACCCGAGGUUUCCUGGGCAAGGCUAAUCCUCCCAGGGUCAGUCGGGGGCUAAGGCGAGGCCGGUAGGCGUAGCCGACGCGCAGCAGGCAGACAUUCCUGCACCGCGCACGCGGCGCUACGACCGACGGGGCGACGGAUGGGGGUGGCUCGGCGGGGUUCUGGACGUCCCCGUGAUGGAGCGCGGCCCGCGGACCAGGGAAAUCCGGUCCGCACGAGGGCGAGGCUCCGGACGAAGCACUUAAGCGAAGCGAGUGAGCCCGAGGUCCCUAGAAAAACCCCUAGGCAGGCGCGUGCGCGCCCGUACCGCAAACCGACACAGGUGGGUGGGUAGAACAUACCGAGGCGAUCGGGUCAACCAUGGUCAAGGAACUCGGCACAAUGGCCCCGUAACUUCGGGAGAAGGGGUGCCCGCGCGUACGUGAACGGACUUGCUCCGGGAGCGGAGGCGGGCCGCAGUGGAGAGGCCCAAGCGACUGUUUACCAAAAACACAGGACUCUGCAGAAGCCGCAAGGCGACGUAUAGGGUCUGACGCCUGCCCGGUGCCGGAAGGUCACGCGGAGGAGUUAGCCGAUUCGGCGAAGCCCCGAAGCCAAGCCCCGGUAAACGGCGGCCGUAACUAUAACGGUCCUAAGGUAGCGAAAUUCCUUGUCGGGUAAGUUCCGACCUGCACGAAAGGCGCAACGACUUGGGCGCUGUCUCGACCAUGGACCCGGUGAAAUUGCACUGGUCGUGAAGAUGCGACUUACCCGCGGAAGGACGGAAAGACCCCGUGAACCUUCACUGCAGCUUGGCAUUGGCCGCUGGUCCCGCGUGUAGAGGAUAGGCAGGAGGCACAGAUCCGGAGGCGCCAGCCCCCGGGGAGCCGCCCUUGGAAUACUGCCCUCGCGCGACCGGCGUCCUAACCCGAGGCCGUCGACCGGCUCGGGGACCGUGCCAGGCGGGCAGUUUGACUGGGGCGGUCGCCUCCUAAAGGGUAACGGAGGCGCGCGAAGGUCCGCUCGGGACGGUCGGCAACCGUCCUUUUGAAUGCAAGAGUACAAGCGGGCUUGACUGCGAGGCCCACAAGCCGAGCAGGUGCGAAAGCAGGCUCUAGUGAUCCGGCGGCCCCGAGUGGGUGGGCCGUCGCUCAACGGAUAAAAGGUACUCCGGGGAUAACAGGCUGAUCUUGCCCAAGAGUCCACAUCGACGGCAAGGUUUGGCACCUCGAUGUCGGCUCAUCGCAUCCUGGGGCUGAAGUCGGUCCCAAGGGUAUGGCUGUUCGCCAUUUAAA